CAGUCGCCGCGUAAUACGUAGGUGGCAAGCGUUGUCCGGAAUUAUUGGGCGUAAAGGGCUCGCAAGCGGUUUCUUAAGUCUGAUGUGAAAGCCCCCGGCUCAACCGGGGAGGGUCAUUGGAAACUGGGAAACUUGAGUGCAGAAGAGGAGAGUGGAAUUCCACGUGUAGCGGUGAAAUGCGUAGAGAUGUGGAGGAACACCAGUGGCGAAGGCGACUCUCUGGUCUGUAACUGACGCUGAGAAGCGAAAGCGUGGGGAGCGAACAGGAUUAGAUACCCGUGUAGUCCCCUGUCUCUUAUAC
rnacentral:rRNA from 1 species